GGGUACAUGGUCUAGUGGUAUGAUUUUCCCUUAGCAUUUCACCUUCUAAAGAGGGUAAUUCAAUUGGGAGAGGUCCUGGGUUCAAUUCCCAGUGUAUCCA
rfam:Xylona heveae TC161 unplaced genomic scaffold L228scaffold_7, whole genome shotgun sequence.